CCUACGUGAGGCAGCAGUGAGGAAUAUUGGUCAAUGGACGAGAGUCUGAACCAGCCAAGUAGCGUGAAGGAUGACUGCCCUAUGGGUUGUAAACUUCGUUUAUAUGGGAAUAAAAUGUUCCACGUGUGGGAUUUUGUAUGUACCAUAUGAAUAAGGAUCGGCUAACUCCGUGCCAGCAGCCGCGGUAAUACGGAGGAUCCGAGCGUUAUCCGUAUUUAUUGGGGUUAAAGGGAACGUAGGUGGAUUGUUAAGGCAGUUGUGAAAGUUUGCGGCUCAACCGUAAAAUUGCAGUUGAAACUGGCAGUCUUGAGUACAGUAGAGGUGGGCGGAAUUCGUGGUGUAGCGGUGAAAUGCUUAGAUAUCACGAAGAACUCCGAUUGCGAAGGCAGCUCACUGGACUGCAACUGACACUGAGGCUCGAAAGUGUGGGUAUCAAACAGGAUUAGAUACCCGAGUAGUC
rnacentral:rRNA from 1 species